rnacentral:misc_RNA from 1 species
GAUGAAGAACGUAGCGAAAUGCGAUACGUAAUGUGAAUUGCAGAAUUCAGUGAAUCAUCGAAUCUUUGAACGCAUAUUGCGCUCUCUGGUAUUCCGGAGAGCAUGCUAGUUUGAGUAUCAGUAAACACCUCAACUUCCAUAUCUUUUUUGAAAUGGGAGUUGGACUUGAGUGAUCCCAACGCUUUUCCUCACCGAAAAGUGGCGGGUUACUUGAAAUGCAGGUGCAGCUGGACUUUUCUCUGAGCUAUAAGCAUAUCUAUUUAGUCUGCCUAAAAAACAGAUUAUUACCUUUGCUGCAGCUAACAUAAAGGAGAUUAGUUCUUGUGCUGACUGAUGCAGGAUUCACAAAGACGGCUUCGGCCGACUUUGUAAACUCGAUCUCAAAUCAAGUAAGACUACCCGCUGAACUUAAGCAUAUCAUAAGCGGAGGA